GACGAACGCUGGCGGCGUGCCUAACACAUGCAAGUCGAGCGAUGAAAUCCCUUCGGGGAUGGAUUAGCGGCGGACGGGUGAGUAACACGUGGGUAACCUGCCUCAAAGUGGGGGAUAGCCUUCCGAAAGGAAGAUUCAUACCGCAUAAUAUUAGAUUUUCGCAUGAAGAACUAAUUAAAGAAGUAAUUCGCUUUGAGAUGUACCCGCGGCGCAUUAGCUAGUUGGUGAGGUAAUGGCUCACCAAGGGGACGAUGCGUAGCCGACCUGAGAGGGUGAUCGGCCACAUUGGAACUGAGACACGGUCCAGACUCCUACGGGAGGCAGCAGUGGGGAAUAUUGCACAAUGGGGGAAACCCUGAUGCAGCAACGCCGCGUGAGUGAUGAAGGUCUUCGGAUUGUAAAGCUCUGUCUUUUGGGACGAUAAUGACGGUACCAAAGGAGGAAGCCACGGCUAACUACGUGCCAGCAGCCGCCGUAAUAC
rnacentral:rRNA from 1 species